rnacentral:lncRNA from 1 species
CAGUAAGCAAGGUCGGACUUCUUCCGCCUCAGGAUCAGCUGACUGCUGCAAGGAAGUGGCAACCCCGAGGGCUUUUAACUAAAGAGCCACAGCGAAGGGGGUGUCUCCAGUCUGAAAACCGCUUUCCUCUUCCCCCCCCCUCUAGUGACUACUGAAACCACACCUUGCCGCUGUUUAUGCGUCCCCUAACCUCAGCCCAAGGGGCGUAAACCUGUGGCGUCAAAAGUUUAUUCUCUCCAUUUGGAGCAAAUACAUUGCCGAGAUGGCAGGGGUCGUGGUUAAUGGAACUCAAGUGUCUUACAUUGGUCAAGACUGCCAAGAAAUACCAGAAUUCCUUGGGAGAAAAUAUGGACAUAUUGCUAAAAGAUUGGAUCUUAGCUGUAACUUGUUAAGGGAACAGGAUCCAAUAAAUGAAGCAAGGGAGCACACCUUCUCAAGACAAUAGAAGAUGCUAUUAUCAAGAUUUAGGCAAGGAAGCUUUGAAUAGUAUUAGGGCAUUGUCCCUUGUUGAAGUGCCCCAGGUUCUUGUGUGUUUUUUCCUAACAAAGGAAUCUUGUACUUUUAUGUUGAGAUAAUUAUCUCAGAAUAAGAGGUGCCUUGUCUAGUCUGAUCUUAUGAAUAAAUACGUCUUUGAAAUAUA